CCUACGGGAGGCAGCAGUAAGGAAUAUUGGGCAAUGGAGGCAACUCUGACCCAGCCAUGCCGCGUGCAGGAUGACUGCCCUAUGGGUUGUAAACUGCUUUUGUACCAGAGAAAACCCUUCUACGUGUAGAAGGCUGAUAGUAUGGUAAGAAUAAGGAUCGGCUAACUUCGUGCCAGCAGCCGCGGUAAUACGAAGGAUCCAAGCGUUAUCCGGAUUCAUUGGGUUUAAAGGUGCGUAGGCGGUCAAAUAAGUCAGUGGUGAAAUCUCCGAGCUUAACUCGGAAAUUGCCAUUGAUACUGUUUGACUAGAGUUCAGAUGAUGUUGGCGGAAUGUGUCAUGUAGCGGUGAAAUGCUUAGAUAUGACACAGAACACCGAUUGCGAAGGCAGCUGACAAAACUGAUACUGACGCUGAUGCACGAAGUAGGCGGGAGUACAACAAGGAGUAGUAUACCUACGUAGUCGCACCGUAACGAUAGAUACUACG
rnacentral:rRNA from 1 species